GUGUCUCCCCACCUCCUCUCUCGGUCUCCUGCCUGUGAAUCAAACAUAAACUCUCAGCUACUGCUCCCGCACCCCGUUUAUGCCUUCUUUUAUAAGUUGCCUCAAUCAUGCUGUCUCUUCACAGAAAUAGAAUCAUGAUUAAGACACUUGGGGGGGGGGGCUGGAAUAAUGGCUCAGCGGGUAAGAGCACUGAAUGCUUUUCUGAAGGUCCUGAGUUCAAGUCCCAGCAACCACAUGAUGGCUCACAAUCAACUGUAAUGAGAUCUGAUGCCCUCUUCUGGAGUGUCAGAAGAUGGCUAUAGUGUACUUACAUAUAAUAAAUAAAUCUUUUUAAAAAGACAAAAACAAAAACAAACCAACAAAAAAAAAAGACACUUAGGGUUUAACGGGGGGUGGGGGUGGGGGGAGAGGGGACACAUGCCUUUAAUCCCAGCACUAGGCCAUCUGAGAGAUCUCUGUGAAUUUGAGGCCAGCCUGGUCUAUAGAACAAGUUCCAAGACAGCCGGAACUACACAGCCUGUCUUGAACCACCCCCACCUCCCAAAAAAAGACACCUAUCUACUUAUCCUACGAGAAUAUCAAGGAUGCUAAGAUACUGACGAUAGCUGGGCACAGAGGUGCUCACCUCUCCCCCCCACACACACACACACACACUCGAGGCAGAGGCCAUCUUGGUCUGUGUAGAGAGUUACCGGGAAGCCAGGGCUACAUAGAGAGACCCGUUCUCAGAGAGAGAGAAUGAAUGAGAGCAACAUGCAUCAAGCAAUUAACAUAACUCCCAUGCUAGGAACACAUUCUAUUGUUGCCACUGUUAUGUUAUUUAGGGCUUCCUGGAGUGAAGACCUAGAAAGACAGAAGCAGAAAUAGGCAUUGUGUAAGGUGACCUGCAGUUUUAUCUUGAGACAAAAAGAGAAAAUAAAAAGUCACAGUCAGACACUAACACCGCUGUGUGCAAAGUUAUCAGGAAGAAGAGAAAAGAACAGCCUGUCUAAUGCUCAGAGCCCUGGAAGGGAGGAGGCGGGAGGGGUCCUUUAGGAUAGAUCACGGCAAACCUUAGGUGUCAAGGCCAUAUCUGCCUUGUUAACAUCUACAGUGCUGGAUGUCAAACCCAGGGGCUCACACAUGCCAGGAAAAUGUUGGACCAUUCAGCUACAAUCCUAGAUUUUGGGUUUUGAGACAGGACCUCGCUAUGUAACCCAAGUAUUUCAAGAAUUCAUGGAAACUCACCUGCCUCAGCCUCUGAACUACUGCAACUAUUUGUUUGUUUUUGUAAUUUUUCUUUUUUUUUUUUUUUUACUGUGUAGCCCUGUCUAGCCUUGAACUCACAGAGAUCCAAUUGUCUCUGCCUCCUGAGUGCUGGGAUUAAAGGCAUGUGCCAUCAUCUCCCAACUAGUUGUUGCUGUUUUAUUAUUUUUUUUUAAGAUUUAUUUAUUUAUUUAUUUAUGUAAGUACGCUGUAAAUAAAUAAACUUCAGACACUCCAGAAGAGGGCAUCAGAUCUUGUUACAGAUCUUGAACCAUCAUGUGGUUGCUGGGAUUUGAACUCAGGACCUUUAGAAGAACAAGUCUGUGCUCUUAACCACUGAGCCAUCUCUCCAGACCCUGUUGUUGUUUGUUGUUGUUGUUGUUGUUGUUUAUUUUCUAUGUUUGGGUAUUCUGCCUGCCUACAUGUUCCCUUCAGAGACUAGAAGAUCAGAUCACCCUAAGUCUAGAGUUAUAUAUGGUUAUAAGCCACCACCAUGUGGGUGCUGAGAAUCAAGUCUGGGCUUCCAGUAAGAGCACCCAGUGCUCUCAACCACAGUCACCCAGCCCCGUGUUUUCUGAGACAGUGUCUCUCUCUCUAUAGCACAGGGUGUGCUGGAACUUGCUACAUAGGCCGGGAUGACCUCGAACUCACAGAGAUCUACCUGCCCUUGCCUCCUGAGUGCUGAUGUCUUUUAAAAAAUGUGUCAUGCCAGGCAUGGUGGCUCAUUCCUUUAAUCCCAGCACUCGGGAGGCAGAGGCAGGCAGAUUUCUGAGUUCAACGCCAGCCUGGUCUACAGAGUGAGUUCCAGGACAUCCAGGGCUAUACAGAGAAACCCUGUCUCAAAAAAGAAAAAAAAAAAGAAAGAAAAAGAAAAA
rnacentral:lncRNA from 1 species